AUUGAACGCUGGCGGCAUGCCUUACACAUGCAAGUCGAACGGUAACGGGCCUUCGGGUGCCGACGAGUGGCGAACGGGAGAGUAAUACAUCGGAACGUGCCCGAUCGUGGGGGAUAACGAGGCGAAAGCUUUGCUAAUACCGCAUACGAUCUACGGAUGAAAGCAGGGGACCGCAAGGCCUUGCGCGGACGGAGCGGCCGAUGGCAGAUUAGGUAGUUGGUGGGAUAAAAGCUUACCAAGCCGACGAUCUGUAGCUGGUCUGAGAGGAUGAUCAGCCACACUGGGACUGAGACACGGCCCAGACUCCUACGGGAGGCAGCAGUGGGGAAUUUUGGACAAUGGGCGCAAGCCUGAUCCAGCCAUGCCGCGUGCAGGAUGAAGGCCUUCGGGUUGUAAACUGCUUUUGUACGGAACGAAAAGCCUUCUUUUAAUACAGGAGGGUCAUGACGGUACCGUAAGAAUAAGCACCGGCUAACUACGUG
rnacentral:rRNA from 1 species